rnacentral:rRNA from 1 species
AUGCAUGCCCUUAUCAGUAUGGUUCCUCCGGAGCCUCGGGAACUAGAAGCAGAAGACAAGAAGAAGGAAAGAGUCGCAGCCGGUGCUCCUUUCACCUGGAUUGCAUGGAACUUUGGUACUUGCCCUGAGGAUGCUAAUGAGGAUGAGGUCAAGACAUAUGCUGGUGUCUACAUGUGGUACGUUAUAUCCAGGAAUAUGUUUGCUGAUGGCACAGGCAAGAAUGCUCCAUGGAUGUGGCUGAAGGCGUUGACCGUCUUCGAUAGCGAAUGGAGUUGGGGUUCGGCGACACUGGCUUACUUCAUUGCUACAUUAUCAAUGCGAUCUUCCUGUUAA